UACGGGGGGGGCAAGCGUUGUUCGGAAUUACUGGGCGUAAAGGGCUCGUAGGCGGCCAACUAAGUCAGACGUGAAAUCCCUCGGCUUAACCGGGGAACUGCGUCUGAUACUGGAUGGCUUGAGUUUGGGAGAGGGAUGCGGAAUUCCAGGUGUAGCGGUGAAAUGCGUAGAUAUCUGGAGGAACACCGGUGGCGAAGGCGGGUCUCUGGGCCGAAAUUGACGCUGAGGAGCGAAAGCGUGGGGAGCAAACAGG
rnacentral:rRNA from 1 species